rnacentral:rRNA from 1 species
UUUAAAGUCUAACCUGCCCAAUGAGGAGUUGAAUGGCCGCGGUAUUUUGACCGUGCAAAGGUAGCAUAAUCAUUAGUUUUUUAAUUGAAAGCUGGAAUGAACGGUUGGACGAGAAAAUAACUGUCUCAAUUUAAUUGAAUUAGAAUUUUAUUUAUAAGUAAAAAAGCUUAUAUAUUUUUAAAAGACGAGAAGACCCUAUAGAGUUUUAUAUUUAUAUAAAUAUAUUAUUUUUAGAAUGUUUAGAUUUUAUAUGUAUUUAAAUAUUUUAUUGGGGCGAUAGAAAAAUUAGAUAAACUUUUUUUAUAUUAUUACAUUGAUUUAUGGUUUAAUGAUCCAAUAUUUUUGAUUAUAAGAUUUAAUUACCUUAGGGAUAACAGCGUAAUUUUUCUUUAGAGUUCUUAUCGAAAGAAAAGUUUGCGACCUCGAUGUUGGAUUAAAAU